rnacentral:rRNA from 1 species
UACGUAGGGGGCUAGCGUUGUCCGGAAUCAUUGGGCGUAAAGCGCGUGUAGGCGGUUCGGUAAGUCCGCUGUGAAAGUCGGGGGCUCAACCCUCGGAUGCCGGUGGAUACUGUCGGACUAGAGUGCGGAAGAGGCGAGUGGAAUUCCUGGUGUAGCGGUGAAAUGCGCAGAUAUCAGGAGGAACACCGGUGGCGAAGGCGGGUCUCUGGGCCGAUACUGACGCUGAGGAGCGAAAGCGUGGGGAGCGAACAGG